rnacentral:lncRNA from 1 species
AGAACACAGAUAAAGCGGGCUAGGUACAAAUUAAAGUAGUCAAUCUUUUCAGUGCUUUACUAUACCUGUAGCCAGCUGUGUUUGAGUUCAUUUCUUUUUCAUCUUCAUGCACCUUCUUCAUCUUCUUUCUCUGAAUGUCUUAGCUGAAAGUACUCUGUGUGUCUAGUCCUAACAGGAAAAAACAGUCCUAAGGAAAUGAAACGGUCCCUGUCCCUGACAUAAGAUAAUCUUGGCAGGGUGUGGAGUGAAAUCCUUAAAUUCUCUUCUGUGACUUCUCAGACCCAGUUCCAAAAGCACUUGAACUUCUUUUUUGCAAAGAAACCUGCACUGGCAAUCCUAGCGCUAUGGUGGGGCUCCUGACGUAAUGCCAACAGACUGGUUUGGUAUGCAUCAAGC